UUACUUUCAAUUACAAUAUUUACGUAAUAGAAUUGAUUGGAUAAUAAGGAUAAAGGUUUGAUAAAUUUUAUGUGAAAAACUAAAAAGACUUAUUUUAGAUGUAGCAAUUAUUAAAAAUUCUGUUACUUCAUCACUUUGAUCACAAUUAGAAUUAAUUAGUUUUGUUUUCUCAGUAGGUUUCUUUUAAUCAAUUCAUAUGUAACACUAGAGUUGUAUUUAAUCAUGUCUUGAAUCAACAAGGUUGAUAAAGAUAAUAUUGAGUGAAACGUGCAUUAAUCUUGAAAUUUAAAUGUAAAAAAAAGGGUGAAUAAUAAUGUAUGUGACACAUUCUGUGUAGCUGUGAGUCCUACACUUAUAAUGAAUUACUAUUCAAAGUAACUGAAGUCAAAUUAUCUAGUAUAAUGUUGCUA